GGCUAAACUAUGGAUUAAAUGCGG
rnacentral:siRNA from 1 species